CCAUUAGAGAACUUCUAAAUUAAGGAGCCAGUGCACCAGCACAUUUGAGAGCUGCCCGAGAUAAAGCGAUGUAUCCCAGAUAACCUCAAAGGAGAAGCUGGCACGUGGCAGACAGGCACCCGGCACCUGCCGCUGGAGCACACGUGUCAUCCCAGAGAGAGUGCAGCUGCACCGAGGUCCUGCCUCUACAUUUGAGCAGAGACACAGGUCAAGGUGCAGCCAUCACAAUUUCAAAUCCACACGCCCCUCAUCACAAAUGCAUCUCCUGCUCUGACUCCCUGCUCAAAGCCGCCAGGUUCCACCGAAGCCGGCCCUUCCAGCGGGAGAGAGGGGAAACUGCCAGCAUAGUGUCCCCUAAGCCACACGGUUAGAGCCUGUACAACGCUGAGCCCAUGUCUGAAUUCCAAACUGGAACUGCAAACCAGGGACCGGCACAUCUGCUGAAGUCACACCUGCAGGAAUUGUGCGUCUAUGUAAAGAAGAUAGCUCUCUUGCCUGGGAAACCCCCAUGAAGGAAAGUCUUGGACAGACCCGAAUGCGGGGCAGACCACUGGGGGCCACCAGGUGUUUCACUGCUUUGGCUGCUGUGAGAGGGGAGUUUACAACGACCCCGUAGCCCCCUCCCUAAGUGACUGUGGACCGCUGCUGCCCUGCCCCUCCCAAGGAGACAUGGACAAGAACCCCGAGAGAGGCAUGGGGCAGGAUUCAAGGGAGUUUCUUUGCUCCUGGAAGUAUUGGCAACUGCUUCUCCCUGUGGUUCUAGAAAACUCAUGUAUUCUUCUAUUUCUUUUUUCUUUUAAACUUUUUAUUUGGCUUUAAAUUUACAGACAAUUAACAUGAUUCACCUGUUGUUAGCAUUUUGGAAGAAGCAUUUAUUUUAGAUUCCAAGGAAAAAUAUAAUUAUGACCACUGUGUC